ACGCUGGCGGCGUGCCUAAUACAUGCAAGUCGAACGCCUUGUGGUUUUAAUGAAUAGCGUGCUUGCACAAUAUGAUUUAAAACAAUGCAAGGAGUGGCGAACGGGUGAGUAACACGUGGGAAACCUACCUCUUAGCAGGGGAUAACAUUUGGAAACAGAUGCUAAUACCGUAUAACACUAAAAACCGCAUGGUUUUUAUUUGAAAGAUGGUUCUGCUAUCACUAAGGGAUGGUCCCGCGGUGCAUUAGUUAGAUGGUGAGGUAAUGGCUCACCAUGACGAUGAUGCAUAGCCGAGUUGAGAGACUGAUCGGCCACAAUGGGACUGAGACACGGCCCAUACUCCUACGGGAGGCAGCAGUAGGGAAUCUUCCACAAUGGGCGCAAGCCUGAUGGAGCAACGCCGCGUGUGUGAUGAAGGGUUUCGGCUCGUAAAGCACUGUUGUAAGAGAAGAAUGUACUUGAGAGUAACUGUUCAAGUAGUGACGGUAUCUUACCAGAAAGGGACGGCUAAAUACGUGCCAGCAGCCGCGGUAAUACGUAUGUCCCAAGCGUUAUCCGGAUUUAUUGGGCGUAAAGCGAGCGCAGACGGUUAUUUAAGUCUGAAGUGAAAGCCCUCAGCUCAACUGAGGAAUUGCUUUGGAAACUGGAUGACUUGAGUGCAGUAGAGGAAAGUGGAACUCCAUGUGUAGCGGUGAAAUGCGUAGAUAUAUGGAAGAACACCAGUGGCGAAGGCGGCUUUCUGGACUGUAACUGACGUUGAGGCUCGAAAGUGUGGGUAGCAAAC
rnacentral:rRNA from 1 species